GACGAACGCUGGCGGCGUGCUUAACACAUGCAAGUCGAACGGAAAGGCCCUGCUUUUGUGGGGUGCUCGAGUGGCGAACGGGUGAGUAACACGUGAGUAACCUGCCCUUGACUUUGGGAUAACUUCAGGAAACUGGGGCUAAUACCGGAUAGGAGCUCCUGCUGCAUGGUGGGGGUUGGAAAGUUUCGGCGGUUGGGGAUGGACUCGCGGCUUAUCAGCUUGUUGGUGGGGUAGUGGCUUACCAAGGCUUUGACGGGUAGCCGGCCUGAGAGGGUGACCGGCCACAUUGGGACUGAGAUACGGCCCAGACUCCUAAGGGAGGCAGCAGUGGGGAAUAUUGAACAAGGGGCGGAAGCCUGAUGCAGCAACGCCGCGUGCGGGAUGACGGCCUUCGGGUUGUAAACCGCUUUCGCCUGUGACGAAGCGUGAGUGAAGGUAAUGGGUAAAGAAGCACCGGCUAACUACGUG
rnacentral:rRNA from 1 species